rnacentral:lncRNA from 10 species
GCCGACGUCCCAUCCUGUGCCUUUCCAUGGUGGGAGACCACCGCGGGAUGGACCUGUGCCCCUGACCAAGCCUGAAUUAUAAGAUAAUUCUUUUGCUUCUAAAGGCUUCUUUCUAAGGCAGAAGAGUAGACACAGGUUCUGAAGAUUCUGAUCCCAGAGUUCUGGCUUUCCCCUCCCUUUGUGGCCCCCAGUUCCACCAGCAAAGCAUGGGGUGCUUUCCGGCCACCCUGCAAGCUGGGCUCCCAGGUAAGUCAUCCACGACCUCUCGUCCAGGUUUGCUGGCUCAUGGAUUUUUCUCUACGCUGAUUUUAUCACUUCAUAUAAAAUUGGACCUUGGUUGUUUUUAGCCAAUGCAGUAGUAAUAUUUUUUUUAAAGUAGACUCAUGAGAGUGUUCCCCAGCUGGGGCAUGAGUAAUCCAUCCCUAAGCUGCUCCAAGUAACAAUCCUGUUAGUGGACCAGAAAGCUGCUUUCUCUCAGACCAUUGAUUUCAAAGCUGGAAAACAGCAGGCACUGUGUUGGGAGUAAGCAAUGUGGAGUCAUCUCUUCCCCCAGAGAAACGCUGACAAGUAUUAGCUCACAGACAUGUGUGCACAAAGAUGGAUGCUCACAGUUGUCCGUUGGAGCACUGUUUGAAGCAGCAAAAGGAACCAAUUCAACUUUCCCUGAGUAGGAAAAUGGCUAAAUAAAUGGUAACUUAUUCACAGAAGGGAAUAUAAUACAGCUGUUAAAAUCAUGAAAAAAGCAAGAAGCCCCUUGCCAGAAGCAAGCCUCAUGACUUAGGACUUUCCAGCCUCCAGAAUUCUGGGCAUGGUGGCUCACACCUGUAAUCCCAGCACUUCGGGAGGCCCAGGUGGGCGGAUCACCUGAGGUCAGGAGUUUGAAACCAGCCUGAGCAACAUGGUGAAACCCCAUCUCUACUACAAAUACAAAAAUUAGCUGGGUGUGGUGGCUUGCAUCUGUAAUUCCAGCUACUAGGGAGGCAGAGGAAGAAGAACUCCUUGAACCUGGGAGGUGGAGGUUGUGGUGAGCCAAAAUCACAUCACUGCACUUCAGCCUGGGCAAAAAAGCAAGACUCUAUCUCAAAUAUAUAUAUAUUUUUUUUUCAAUAAAAAGCUAGAAAAAUUGGAGAGGUAUAUCAGGCUGUUCUUGCAUUGCUAUGAAUAAAGAAAAGAUGUUUAAUUGGCUCAUGGUUCUGCAGGCUGCAGAGGAAGAUACACAGGUAUCUGCUUCUGGGGAGGCCUCAGGAAGCUUCCAGUCAUGGUAGAAGGUAAAGAGGGAGCAGAUGUCUCACACGGUGGGAGCAGGAGCAGGGGGCGGGGAGGUGCCACACGCACUUUUAAACGACCGGAUCUUGAGAGAACUCACUCACCGUCACGAGAAUAGCACCAAAGGAAUGGUGCUAAACCACGCAUGAGAUAUCCUCUCCCGUGACUCAGGCCCCACCUCCAACAAUGAGGAUCACAUUUCAACAUGAGAUUUGGGCGGGGACACAGAUCCAAACCACCCAAACAGAGGCAAUAAAGACUACCUAGUCUAACUGUCUUGACGCUGCCUGAACCCCCUUGGUGGAAUGACAAUUACAUAAAAGCCUGAACUCAUUCAUUCUCCCACUCUCUUAAACUUAUUAUUCUUUCAAAGUUUAGUUUAUUUGUUUGUUUGUUUGUUUGAGUAAACUAUCAUGGUGGAGAAAAGAAAGCUUAAUUUCC